rnacentral:rRNA from 1 species
CCUACGGGUGGCAGCAGUGGGGGAUAUUGCACAAUGGGGGAAACCCUGAUGCAGCGACGCCGCGUGGGUGAAGAAGCGCCUCGGCGCGUAAAGCCCUGUCAGCAGGGAAGAAAAUGACGGUACCUGAAGAAGAAGCCCCGGCUAACUACGUGCCAGCAGCCGCGGUAAUACGUAGGGGGCAAGCGUUAUCCGGAUUUACGGGGUGUAAAGGGGGCGCCGACGGCGAGGCAAGCCAGGAGUGAAAGCCCGGGGCCCAACCCCGGGACUGCUCGUGGAACUGCGUGGCUAGAGUGCAGGAGGGGCAGGCGGAAGUCCUGGUGUAGCGGUGAAAUGCGUAGAUAUCAGGAGGAACACCGGGGGCGAAGGCGGCCUGCUGGACUGCAACUGACGUUGAGGCCCGAAAGCGUGGGGAGCAAACAGGAUUAGAUACCCGAGUAGUC